rnacentral:rRNA from 1 species
UUUUGACUGUGCAAAGGUAGCAUAAUAAUUAGUUUUUUAAUUGAAAGCUUGUAUGAAUGGUUGGACGAGAUAAAAUCUGUCUUAAUUUAAUUUAUUAUAAAAUUUAAUUUUUAAGUCAAAAAGCUUAAAUUUUAAUAAAAGACGAGAAGACCCUAUAAAGCUUAAUAAAAGGUGUUAAUUUGAUUUUUUUGAUAAUUUUUAUUAAAUUAAAAUUUUUUAUUUAAUUGGGGUAAUUUAAAGAUUUAAUAAAUUCUUUAUUAUUUAUACAUUAAUUUAUGAAUUUUUGAUCCAUUAAUAUUGAUUAAAAGAUUAAGUUACUUUAGGGAUAACAGCGUAAUUUUUUUAGAGAGUUCAUAUCGAUAAAAGAGUUUGCGACCUCGAUGUUG